rnacentral:snRNA from 1 species
UCUUGCGACGGCAAAAAAUAUGCUAAAGUUAAAACGAUACAGAGAUCAGCAUUGCAACUUCGCAAGGUUCAGACGCAAAACCGUGGAGUGUUUCACAUUUUA